GUAAGAGGGAAAAUCCGUUGAUUUUAAAAAUCGUGAGGGUUCAAGUCCCUCUAUCCCCAAAAAAAGCCCC
rnacentral:tRNA from 1 species